rnacentral:rRNA from 1 species
CCUACGGGUGGCUGCAGUAGGGAAUCUUGCACAAUGGGCGAAAGCCUGAUGCAGCAACGCCGCGUGAAGGAUGAAGGCCUUCGGGUUGUAAACUUCUGUUCUAAGGGAAGAAACAAAUGACGGUACCUUAGGAGCAAGCCCCGGCUAACUACGUGCCAGCAGCCGCGGUAAUACGUAGGGGGCAAGCGUUAUCCGGAAUUAUUGGGCGUAAAGAGUGCGUAGGUGGUUACCUAAGCGCAAGGUUUAAUUUAGAGGCUCAACCUCUACUUGCCUUGCGAACUGGGCUACUUGAGUGCGGGAGGGGAAAGCGGAAUUCCUAGUGUAGCGGUGAAAUGCGUAGAUAUUAGGAGGAACACCAGCGGCGAAGGCGGCUUUCUGGACUGUAACUGACACUGAGGCACGAAAGCGUGGGUAGCAAACAGGAUUAGAUACCCUUGUAGUC